rnacentral:lncRNA from 1 species
GUGAACAGGCAACGACGGUUGGCGCAUUGUGCUACGGCGUGGACCAUGUCAAGUUAAAGGACUGGACGACGUAGACACCAGACGGGACUUUGGCUUUGCACCAAGUCACCAGAAAUGACAAACGUUCAGAAGGGAGC